rnacentral:lncRNA from 1 species
GGAAGAUUUGCUGUCCUCAGACUGGACAGUCCUUAGCUUUGCGCUUAUCACAUAAAUGGCAUUUAAUAAAAGCUUCCUGGACUCAGCACCGCUCCUGAAGGCCUGUAUUGUGGUCAGACAAUUAUCGUUUCUUCCACAGAUGAGCUCAUUCUUCUCUCAGGAUUAACCCUUUCCCCUUCACUGAGGCAUCUGACACCAGCAUUCGGAGGAACACCCACUCCUUCCCCUUCUGUCAGCUGCCUGUGGAAAUUCCCGUCCCAAACAUGUGACUCCCCACAGAGUGACACUCACUGAUCACGAGUCUUAACUUUAAAAGGUUAAAACCACAAAAUGGGGGAGCAGCAGAGAGAGGACGUGGCGCGGAGGAAAGACAGACACACCUGCACACGCACGGUGGGACGGGCAACGCUCACCCCAGGACCCGGUGCGGAGGAGAGACACUCACGGCGGGACGGGCAGCCACGUGUGCUCACCCCAGGACCUGGCGCGGAGGCAGGAACAGACACACCUGCACACGCACGGCGGGACAGGCAGCCACACACACUCGCCCCAGGACCUGGCGCGGAGGAGAGACACCUGGCGCGGAGGUGGGAACAGACACACCUGCACACGCACGAUGGGGUGGGCAGCCUCAUGCUCACCGUUGCAGCCUCAUAUUCUCUGCUGGAACACAAGGAUUUUGCAUCUGUCAUUGUUCUGCUGGGGAUGCAUGGGGAGAAGCUGUGA